AUGCAAGUCGAGCGAACAGAUAAGGAGCUUGCUCCUUUGAAGUUAGCGGCGGACGGGUGAGUAACACGUGGGUAACCUACCUAUAAGACUGGGAUAACUUCGGGAAACCGGAGCUAAUACCGGAUAACAUUUAGAACCGCAUGGUUCUAAAGUGAAAGAUGGUUUUGCUAUCACUUAUAGAUGGACCCGCGCCGUAUUAGCUAGUUGGUAAGGUAACGGCUUACCAAGGCGACGAUACGUAGCCGACCUGAGAGGGUGAUCGGCCACACUGGAACUGAGACACGGUCCAGACUCCUACGGGAGGCAGCAGUAGGGAAUCUUCCGCAAUGGGCGAAAGCCUGACGGAGCAACGCCGCGUGAGUGAUGAAGGGUUUCGGCUCGUAAAACUCUGUUAUUAGGGAAGAACAAAUGUGUAAGUAACUGUGCACAUCUUGACGGUACCUAAUCAGAA
rnacentral:rRNA from 1 species